rnacentral:tRNA from 2 species
GUUUCCGUAGUGUAGUGGUUAUCACGUCUGCCUAACAAGCAGAAGGUCCCCAGUUCGAGCCUCGUCGGAAACA